ensembl:ncRNA Y53C10A.20 ncRNA
AGGAGACGCAGACAACAAGACACUCUCUCUUCUCUGCGUCUCCCCCUUCCCCUCU